ACAUGAUUGAAGAACAACAACGCACCAUCACGAUGUUACAGGAAAAAAUCACAAUGCUUGAGGGUGUCCUUGGAGGGGGUGAUGAAGCCAACGCAACACUAAGCGCCAGAGGGCUUUGAUUUCUUUCAAGAUCGAGGGCAUUGAUGCAUCCAUUAAGUCAGCAAGUAAAAAUAUCACAGAAGUGAACCAGAGAGUUAGUAUGUUUCCAGGAAUCGUUG